rnacentral:rRNA from 1 species
UACGGGGGGGGCAAGCGUUGUUCGGAAUUACUGGGCGUAAAGGGCUCGUAGGUGGCCAACUAAGUCAGACGUGAAAUCCCUCAGCUUAACUGGGGAACUGCGUCUGAUACUGGAUGGCUUGAGUUUGGGAGAGGGAUGCGGAAUUCCAGGUGUAGCGGUGAAAUGCGUAGAUAUCUGGAGGAACACCGGUGGCGAAGGCG